UCUUGCGCAUGCGCGGAGCGUGUGUCUGCCAGUGCCAAUCGUGUUGUGAAACGCAACAUAGCAGCGUUUUCUUUAAGUCUGCUUCGAUUCCUUCAUUUUUACUUUUUUACUUAUUCGAAAAAAAAAAAAACUGAACUUUAUUAAUUGUUCGUGUCAGGCGUAGCUCAACUCGUCUCCGUGCACUUUGAAGCUUCUCGGGCUUAGCUGUUGUCUGGCUUAACUCGCUAUAGAUGUCGUAGCUCUAUAGCUGCUAACACAGAAAAGUGGAAGUUAUCAACACAUCGCUUAGCAGAGAUCAAAUUGUAUUAGUGAGAUUGUAAAGACAUACCUCAAAGUCGGAUGGCUGCGGUGAACACGCCAGUAUAUCAGAGAGAAGCCGAGGAGCCAAGCUCACAGCUGCCUUUUUUGACAGCUACUGCUGGAGGACGAAUAAUCCACUGAUGUCCCUGACAUCAGUGAAGAACAUUUUCUCCCUGAGCAGCACAAUUGGAGCUUCAGGAUGGAGCAGGAGGAGCCACAAACCUUCCAUGUUAAAGAGGAAGAGGAGGAACCACAGCCCUGCAAUAUUAAAGCGGAAGAAGAGGACCACAACAUCGGGCAGGAGGAGUUUGAAGGACUAGAGGAUAACCAAGUAAUCCGUGUUGUCGUGAAAAGUGAAGAUGAUGUGGUCAAAGAUGAGAGUGAAGAGAAGAGAGUGGUGGAGCCUCCAAGCAGCAGCUCAACUCAACACAUGACAACAGAAGCUGAUGGAGACCACUGUGGAGGAUCACAAGCAGACAAGCUCUUAGCCCCACUAUCAAAUAGUGACAAUGUAAAUAUGGCCUCACACUUGAGAACACACACAGGAGAAAAAUCCUUUGCUUGUUCAGUUUGUGCAAAAGUGUUUCUUAAAAGCUCUCAUUUGAAUCGACACAUGAGGACACACACAGGAGAAAAACCUUUCAGUUGUUCAGUUUGUUGUCAAAGAUUCUCCAACAAAAGUAACAUGCAAUCACACAUGAGAACGCACACAGGAGAAAAACCUUUCAUUUGUGCAAACUGUGGCAAAAUGUUUUCCCAAAGUGGAGCGAUGCUGUCACACAUGAGACGACACACAGGAGAAAAACCCUUCAGUUGUUCAGUUUGCGAAAAAACAUUCUCUGACAGAAGUAAUAUGCAAACGCACAUGAGAACACACACAGGAGAAAGACAUUUCAAUUGUUCAGUUUGUGCAAAAGGAUUUGUUAGAAACUGUGAUUUGACUCAACACAUGCGGACGCACACAGGUGAAAAACCUUUUAUUUGCUCAAACUGUGGCAAAAGUUUCUCCCGCAAAUGUCAUAUGCAAACCCACAUGAGAACACACACAAGAAAAUAACCUUGCAGAUGUUCAGUUUGUGGUAAACAAAAAAAAUAAAUCAACAUAAGUCAUAUGGAAACAUGAAAAUACACUGAUGGAAGAAACAUUCCGGUUGAUCGUUUUUGUGCAAAAAAACUUUGGUAGAAAUUGUAAUUUGACUUGACACUUGGGUUGCCUAAAGAUGUAGUGACAGAAGAUGGGCCUCAAUUAAUUUCCAGUGAAUUUGAGACGUACAGAUGAAAGCUAUCAAGCACAAAAAAACGUAUUACUUAUCAUCCUGUCUAAUAGUCUGGCUGAAAGAUUAGUCUAGAACUUCCAAAAGUUCCUGCAGUGGGUGGCAUGAUUUUGCAAAUUUCUGGUUUAGUCACUGAAUCAUGCCAAUACCAAGAAAACUUCAACAGAGUUGUUUUUGACAAAGACCGGCCUGUGGUAAAGCCACUAAACACUUCACUUGUCCAACCAAAUAGUUGGCCAACUAGUCACAAACCAAAAAAAAAAAAUAUCAGAUUUUUCCGGACUGGUCAGUCAGUGCUGAUAAAAAAAACUACAGGAGAGAAGUGUUUAAAUUGGGUCCUGUAACCGUCCAUCUGUCAUCUUCGGCUUAUCAGGGGUCGUGUAGCGGGGGCAGCAGCCUAAGUAUAGAAGCUAAGACUUCCCUUUACCCAGGUACUUAGUAUAAAUAUUCAAGGCGUAGUCACUCUGUGUCCUGGGUGACCACCUACUGGUUGGACGUGCCCUGAAUACCUCCACAGGAAGGCGUCCCGUGGGCAUUCUGACCAUAUGCCCAACCCACUGUAUUAUGCUUCACUUGAUGUGGAGGAGCAGCGACUUUACUCCAAGCUCCUCCCACAUGACAGAGCUUCUCACCCCAUCUCUAAGGGAGAGCCCCGUCACCCAACGAACGAACCUCAUUUCGGUCACUUGUACUCGUGGUCUUGUCCUUGUGGUCAUAACCCAAAGCGCAUUACCAUAGGUGGGGAUAGGAACGUAGAUUGACCGAUAAAUUGAGGGUUUUGCCUUCCGGCUCAGCUCCUCCCUCGCCAAAACAGACUGAUCGAUACAGGGUCCGCAUCACUGCAGACGCCACACCGAUCCUCCUGUCGAUCUCAAAACACACUCUUCCUUCAUUCGUAAACAAGACCCAAGAACUCUUCCACUUGGGGCAGGAUCUUGUGCCCAACACGGAUUUAGCACCAUAUUCUUUUCUGACUUGGAAGUGCUGAGUUUCAUAAGCCAGCCAAAAUCUUCUGGAUGAGGAAAAGGGGUAUGUGGAAACCUGGUUGUGCUGACGGAACGUUCGCUGCUGGGUGCAUGAAGGACUCGUGGGAGAAAUGGAGAGUCCUGGCACUGAGAGUCUCAGUGCUCUCCGU